rnacentral:tRNA from 1 species
GCCUGCUUAGCUCAGUGGUAGAAGCAUUAGUUUUGUAAACUAUCGGUCGUCGGUUCGAAUCCGACAGCAGGCU